CGCUGGCGGCGUGCCUAAUACAUGCAAGUCGAACGCACUCUCGUUUAAGAUUGAAAGGAGCUUGCUCCUGAUUGAUAAACAUUUGAGUGAGUGGCGGACGGGUGAGUAACACGUGGGUAACCUGCCCUAAAGUGGGGGAUAACAUUUGGAAACAGAUGCUAAUACCGCAUAAAACCUAACACCGCAUGGUGUAGGGUUGAAAGAUGGUUUCGGCUAUCACUUUAGGAUGGACCCGCGGUGCAUUAGUUAGUUGGUGAGGUAAAGGCUCACCAAGACCGUGAUGCAUAGCCGACCUGAGAGGUAAUCGGCCACACUGGGACUGAGACACGGCCCAGACUCCUACGGGAGGCAGCAGUAGGGAAUCUUCCACAAUGGACGAAAGUCUGAUGGAGCAACGCCGCGUGAGUGAAGAAGGUUUUCGGAUCGUAAACUCUGUUGUUGGAGAAGAAUGUAUCUGAUAGUAACUGAUCAGGUAGUGACGGUAUCCAACCAGAAAGCCACGGCUAACUACGUG
rnacentral:rRNA from 1 species